GAUGAACGCUAGCGGCAGGCUUAAUACAUGCAAGUCGAGGGGCAGCAGGUCUGUAGCAAUACAGAUGCUGGCGACCGGCAAACGGGUGCGUAACACGUACGCAACCUUCCCGUUACUGGGGAAUAGCCCAGGGAAACUUGGAUUAAUACCCCAUAUUAUAUUGGUUGGGCAUCCGACUGAUAUCAAAGUUUUAACGGUAACGGAUGGGCGUGCGGUUGUUUAGGUAGUUGGCGGGGUAACGGCCCACCAAGCCUACGACCAAUAGCUGAUGUGAGAGCAUGAUCAGCCACACGGGCACUGAGACACGGGCCCGACUCCUACGGGAGGCAGCAGUAAGGAAUAUUGGGCAAUGGACGCAAGUCUGACCCAGCCAUGCCGCGUGAAGGAUGAAGGUCCUCUGGAUUGUAAACUUCUUUUAUCUGGGGCGAAAAUCGGGUAUUCUUAUCCGCUUGACAGUACCAGAGGAAUAAGCACCGGCUAACUCCGUGCCAGCAGCCGCAGUAACAC
rnacentral:rRNA from 1 species